AGGACGAACGCUGGCGGCGUGCCUAACACAUGCAAGUGGAGCGACGAACCAGGCUUCGGCCUGGGGCAGAGCCGCGAACGGGUGAGUAACACGUGGGUAACCUGCCCUGAUGAUUGGGACAACCCGAGGAAACUCGGGCUAAUACCGAAUGUGCCCUCCGGCCUCAAGGCCGUUGGGGAAAGGAAGCUUCGGCCUCCGCAUCGGGAUGGGCCCGCGGCCCAUUAGCUUGUUGGUGGGGUAACGGCCUACCAAGGCGACGACGGGUAGCCGGCCUGAGAGGGCGACCGGCCACACUGGUACUGAGACACGGCCCAGACUCCUACGGGAGGCAGCAGUGGGGAAUAUUGCGCAAUGGGCGAAAGCCUGACGCAGCGACGCCGCGUGGGGGAUGAAGGCCUUCGGGUUGUAAACCCCUUUCAGCAGGGACGAAGCGAAAGUGACGGUACCUGCAGAAGAAGCGCCGGCUAACUACGUGCCAGCAGCCGC
rnacentral:rRNA from 1 species